AAUGAACGCUGGCGGCAUGCCUUACACAUGCAAGUCGAACGGCAGCACGGGUGCUUGCACCUGGUGGCGAGUGGCGAACGGGUGAGUAAUACAUCGGAACGUACCUUAUCGUGGGGGAUAACGCAGCGAAAGCUGUGCUAAUACCGCAUACGCCCUGAGGGGGAAAGCGGGGGAUCGCAAGGCCUCGCGCGAUUAGAGCGGCCGAUGCCUGAUUAGCUUGUUGGUGGGGUAAAAGCCCACAAAGGCGACGAUCAGUAGCUGGUCUGAGAGGACGAUCAGCCACACUGGGACUGAGACACGGCCCAGACUCCUACGGGAGGCAGCAGUGGGGAAUUUUGGACAAUGGGGGCAACCCUGAUCCAGCAAUGCCGCGUGAGUGAAGAAGGCCUUCGGGUUGUAAAGCUCUUUUGUCAGGGAAGAAACACCGGCUCUAACACAGUCCGGGAAUGACGGUACCUGAAGAAUAAGCACCGGCUAACUACGUGCCAGCCGCCGCGGUAA
rnacentral:rRNA from 1 species